rnacentral:lncRNA from 1 species
AGUAGAGCCAACUUGUCAAGUGCAGAACUCAUGGAAAAGGCUUCUCCAUCCAGCAUGUGCCAACUAUCUUGUUCUUCCCAGAAGAGAAAAUGACAGAGUGAAACUGCUAGAGACACUGGUUGCCACCAAAGACCCUAGGAUGGAAAACUGACCCUCACCUCCGAGAAAAAUGGUGCCCUUCCUUCUAAGCCACUAAACUCUGGAGCCCUGCCUCCCCAGUCACCUGGCCUCAUUUAUCCUGCUGCUCUAGAUUUGUCCUUCUGUAUCCCGCAUGAGUAAUGCAGCCAUUGGAGAACACACAGCCUCCUGGGAAGAAGAGACUGGCUACCAUCCACAUGGAAGCUACUGGAGUAAGCUGAUUUCCACCUAGUGUGUGAACAAGAAGAGACAGAGCAAAUGGAACAAUUCAAAUGGCCACAGAAGAGACUGUGCCGACAUCUGAUGUACUGUAGAAAUCAUUAUCAACUGGAGAGCCAAAUACUGGUAGUGUCCAAAAGAACAGGAAAACAAGUCCUUUUCAGAGAUUCCCAUAAUAUCUGUUAUUUAAAAAGACAAGUUACACUGAGGAAAAAAUUACUGGCUUCUAAGUAAGAUGGAAAAUAUAUUAAACAUAGAAAAAUAGAUAAAACAAUAAAACAUGUUAUAGAAAA